AGCUUUGUGCAGUGGCAGUAUCUAGCCAAUGAGGUUUAUCUGAGGCGCGAUUAUUGCUAAUAGAAAUUAGGCUAAAUAAAUGGGCAUUUAUUUUCUGGGGGAAAAAACCCCAACUAUGUUAUCCUAAAUCAAAUAACUCCAGG